CAUAUCACAUUGAAACAUUGGUUCUCGUAUGAUCACCAAGGUUAAGCAACAUCGAACCUGGUCAGUACCUAGAUGGGUGACCACUUGGAAAUACCAGGUGUUGUAAG
rnacentral:rRNA from 1 species